AGGUGGUUACGAUGGUUGUCGUCAGCUCGUGUCGUGAGAUGUUGGGUUAAGUCCCGCAACGAGCGCAACCCUCGACCUUAGUUGCCAGCAUUCAGUUGGGCACUCUAAGGUGACUGCCGGCUAAAAGUCGGAGGAAGGUGGGGAUGACGUCAAAUCAUCAUGCCCCUUAUGACCUGGGCUACACACGUGCUACAAUGGGCGGUACAAAGGGUCGCGAACCCGCGAGGGGGAGCCAAUCCCAAAAAAGCCGCUCUCAGUUCGGAUUGCAGGCUGCAACUCGCCUGCAUGAAGCCGGAAUCGCUAGUAAUCGCGGAUCAGCAUGCCGCCGGUGAACUACGCUCCCGGGCCUU
rnacentral:rRNA from 1 species